rnacentral:pre_miRNA from 1 species
GUGCGUUGGAUGAGUGAGAGGCGUUGGAUCGAUUUUACUCAAUCCAAGCCUCACAUUCAUCAGGUGUUCGU